AAUUACUUGUUUAGCAUCUGUCUGCUUCUCUGGGCUGCGUGUGCUGGCCUUGUUCAUGGCUGGGUCCCCAGCACUGAGCAGCCUGCCUGGGGCGUAAUAAGUGUGUGUUGGGAAAACAAACAAACAGACGCCUGGCUGGCUGAAUAAAUGCUCAGAUGCUCUUCAGAGCAGCUGGACUCAGUGUCCCCCCACCCCCUCCCCCUCCACCCCAAGGCCUGGGUUCUGACACAGGCUCUGCGGCCACACACUUCUUGUGUGAUCUUGGGCAAGUCAUCGUGUUCUCUGAGAAAUUACAUUGAUUACUGAGGAGGAGUCGCAUGCAGAGGAUCCCUGAGAGCUCUGGAAGAAUUUGUUGGAAGUGGGUUUUUGGAAUAAGAAACUGCGUGAGCAAAGAGACUGGGAAGUCCAAGAGCAUGGAGCUGGCAUCUGGAGAGGGCCCUUGGGCUGCAUCAUCCCAUAGUGGAAGGCAAAAGGAUGAGAAAACUGAGGUCCAGAUAAGCUGAGUCAUCCAAAGUCUCACAGCUACCAUGUGAACUGAGCCAGGAUUUGAACCCAGGCAUUCUGCCUCCAGAGCCCAGGCUGUUAACUGCUACAUUAUGCUGGACACGCUGCACCUGCCCCCAUUCCUACCCCAGGGGACCUCCUGUGUGCCAUGACGCUUCACAAUCAGAACCUCGCUUAAGCCUCAUGACAACUUUAUGCAUCUGGUCAUUUUGCAAAUCCAAUCAAUCAAUACGGAGCACUUGCUAUGUUCCUGAUGCUAAACUAGAUACCAGGGACACGGUGCAGAGGAUGAAGACAGAUAAGGACCCAUCUCUUGGGGAACUUACCGUCUAGAGAGAGAAGACAGCCAGUCGAGGAGAGAGGCAAUCGUGGGCAGUGCAGGAGAACAGGAAACACAGGGGGCUUUGCAAGCACAGAAUAGGGACUCAGUAAAUAUUCGUGGUUGAAUGGAAAGCUCUUAGGAUAAUGGCUUUCAGGUAGCUCUCCAAUGUGCCAGCCUAUUGUGUUAGUUAGGGCAGGAUAACUGCUGUUACAGACAACCCCCAAAUCUCAGUGACUCACAAUCUGUUUACUUGUCACUCAGGUCACAGUCCAGUGUAGGUCAACUCCUCAUGGUCACUCAGAGACCCAGGCCCUUCCAUCCAGGGGAGGGGAUCUUGAUUUCUUUUUUGAUCUUCUGCAUCCCCCGGCAGAGGAGAGGAAAAGGCAGGGUGUGGAGGAGCAUGGGGGAGGUUUUAUGGGCAGGCCUGGAAGGGAUUCAUGGCCAAUUCACCUGGUCUUGUGUGGGGGUGUAGGUAGUGACCUAGGAGUGAAGGAAGGAGCAGUGUCAUGCCCAGCAGUUCCCCCAGGUGAAUUCAAUGGAGGAGAGGUGAUUUUCCUAAACAAUGAGGGUUACUUAGGAAGGGGGCAUGGAUUCUGGGUGGUCACAGCCUUCUAACCGGUAUAUAUUCACUGCAGUAUGCUAGUCAGGAUUCUUUUAGCUUCAACUGAUAAAAACCCAACUCAAACUACUUAAGGAAAAGAGAAUGGUUCUGGUCUAGGAAGGUGGUUUCAGGAAUGGCUGGAUACAGGAACUCAACAGGGUCAUCUUUUCUGGUUGGCUUUAGCCUCCAGGCAGGCUGUCAAUGUGUGGUAGGGAAGCAGGCCACCAGCAGGUGCACCCAAACAUGUAUGCAACAAGCCCAGCAAGCCUGGCAGGAGCGAGGCAUAUGUAUCAUUUAUCUGUGUACAUCUAUAAUAUGUAUGUCAUAUAUCAUGUAUCCUCUCUAUAUAUCAU
rnacentral:lncRNA from 1 species